rnacentral:lncRNA from 1 species
GUUACUGUAGCAGUGUGUUUAGUCGUUUGCUGCUGUUACCCUUUAAAAGUGCAGAAAUGCAAAUAUGGUUUUGGCCAGCUUCCAAAAUGUGUUUUGACAUAUAUAAAAUGAUUAAUACUCAAACACAUCUCAUAAAUUGAAUGCAGUUAUAUAUAUUCUCCUUUGUUCAUAAGGAGACAGAGAUUCUGGAUGAUAAAUGAAGGCGAGAAUUAAAAAUGAUUGAGCCAAAUUUUUUCUACUACAGGUUUGUAGGCAAAACCAUUGAGUUGCUAGAUCAAACCUGAAGGCCAUUUCUAAAAGCGCUGGUUUAAGUGAACCCAGUCCAGUGUUGUGUGUGCGUAAGCACAAGUGACAAACUGGGAACUCUCUGGAAGACCCAACAUUCCCAAGGGACCAAGGACAGAAGGGGUGCUGAGUAGGCAGUGCAUUCCCAGAGGAGACCCUUGUGUGACUGCUCAAGUUUCAAUGUGCUGUGACUAACAGGGAAAUUAAUAAAAACGAUGUUUUCUCCCCGGGCAUUCCUUCCUCCAGAACAGACUGUUUGCAGCACUUACAAUCCAAGUAACGAAUAACUUAAGUGUUUAUGUCUCUGGGAGAGUCCCCCAAAAUACCUCCUGAGCUGGGAUCCUGCGUGGGAGUUAAGUGGCUAUAUUCAGGCACUCCUUUCUAUCUCUCCAUGGCACAGUUACAGGGCAGAUUUGCUGCUGUAUUGGGUCAGCAGUGAAGCAUGCAAUGUAGCUCAGCAACCCUGCAGAAGACUCAGCUCAACCUCAACAUCUUCAAAUCCAUCUGCUCCCUUACCUCUUGCUGAAUUCCUUGCUUGCUUGCUGGGCUAUUGGCACCAAACAUCUUGAAGAAAAUCUCAGAAAUGUUCAUUCUGGACUGGAGAUAUUCUAACUUCUCAUUCCUGAUAUUGAGACUGUGACCUUUUUGGAUCCUUUAUGGCUUCACAUACAUUUCGUAGAAGUUUAUUUUGCCAAUGACUUUGUUUUAAGAUGGUCAAUUUGGCCACUGGCUACAUGGGGCAAAAGUACAUAGUGCUUUAUUCAUUAUUAUUUAUGGUUCCUAGAAAUUUUCCAUUCAAGUUUUCAGGCAAACUUUGCACAGUCAGCCUUGCUAAACUUCUGACCCUGUGAUGAAGAAAGAAAAUAUUUUAACGCAAGAAAGUAGAACACAGAGCUCCUACCCUGAAACAUUACUUCAAAUGGUCAAGAUUCUUAAUUUUUUCCUUAAUACUUUCUAAUCAUCUUUGUUAUUGCUGUUGUUUUUGUUUGCUGAAUUGUUUGUAUGUUUCACCCCAUUUGGACAAUGAGGUAAAUUUCCCCUUAGAAAUGCAAGCUAUUAUUGAUGAUGUCUUCCAUAAAUAGCCAUAGACUUUGGGUCUAUACUUUUUUUUUUGUUGUUGUCUCUUGAUUCUUUCUUUGCUUGGAUUAAGUGAAAUGCAACACUCCUACUAACUAAUACAGAGAAAAAGCAGGGAAAAGAAAGGUUUUUCUCCAUGUCUCUUCUCUUUGCUGUACAUUUUAUUUCUGACUGAGCAUUUUUGAACAGUUCAAACUGUUGAAAGAGACCGGUCAUGCCACAAAGCACUGUUUCUUGUUUACUAUUGCCAGUUUUAGCUAUUGCCUAUGUCUUUUCCUAGGGUUUUCUUUGACGGAUGCUAUGGUUUUAAGUAUCUCCAAUGAAAACUGACCGACUGCCAACAACUCUUUUUACUUCUCUUUGUAUAUGUUGUCCUAUGCCCUGCAUUGAGUUUCUUUAUACAAUGGUUUCUGGGCAAUUAUAGUAACGAAGAAUAUGAAAAUGUCCUUUGAGUUUGUUCUACACAUUUCCUUGUCAAUGUGGAUAUAGGAUAUUUUAUAGUGUUACCUAUAUUUUCUGUAUGAUAUCGACAAUACUGUUUCGUAUUUCCAUUUCUUCAGUUUUUCUGUAUUCCUUCCUCUAAGUCACAAACACUAAGGUAGUGCACUUUUCAACCUUUUCCAUUGGUCUACUACUGUUAGUAAAAUACAAACCACCAAUAAAAAUCUACUGAACCUCUUUGACUUUUUCUCU